GUGCCAGCCGCCGCGGUAAUACGUAGGGUGCGAGCGUUAAUCGGAAUUACUGGGCGUAAAGCGUGCGCAGGCGGUUCGUUGUGUCGGCGGUGAAAGCCCCGGGCUCAACCUGGGAAUGGCCGUUGAAACUGGCGAACUGGAGUGUGGCAGAGGGGGGUGGAAUUCCGCGUGUAGCAGUGAAAUGCGUAGAGAUGCGGAGGAACACCGAUGGCGAAGGCAGCCCCCUGGGCUGACACUGACGCUCAGGCACGAAAGCGUGGGGAGCAAACAGGAUUAGAAACCCUCGUAGUCC
rnacentral:rRNA from 1 species